UGGGGAAUAUUGCACAAUGGGCGCAAGCCUGAUGCAGCCAUGCCGCGUGUAUGAAGAAGGCCUUCGGGUUGUAAAGUACUUUCAGCGGGGAGGAAGGGAGUAAAGUUAAUACCUUUGCUCAUUGACGUUACUCGCAGAAGAAGCACCGGCUAACUCCGUGCCAGCAGCCGCGGUAAUACGGAGGGUGCAAGCGUUAAUCGGAAUUACUGGGUGUAAAGCGCACGCAGGCGGUUUGUUAAGUCAGAUGUGAAAUCCCCGGGCUCAACCUGGGAACUGCAUCUGAUACUGGCAAGCUUGAGUCUCGUAGAGGGGGGGUGAAUUCCAGGGGUAGCGGUGAAAUGCGUAUAGAUCUGGAGGAAUACCGGUGGCGAAGGCGGCCCCCUGGACGAAGACUGACGCUCAGGUGCGAAAGCGUGGGGAGCAAACAGG
rnacentral:rRNA from 1 species